GUCGAACGCAGUAGCAAUACUGAGUGGCAAACGGGUGAGUAUAAUGUGGGAAUCUGCCUUUUGGUUUGGAAUAACACGGGGAGACUCGUGCUAAUACCGGAUAAGCCCUUACGGGGAAAGUUUUAACGCCGAAAGAUGAGCCUGCACUUGAUUAGCUAGUUGGUAAGGUAAAGGCUUACCAAGGCAACGAUCAAUAGCUGUUCUUAGAGGAAGACCAGCCACAUUGGGACUGAGACACGGCCCAGACUCCUACGGGAGGCAGCAGUGGGGAACCUUGCACAAUGGGGGAAACCCUGAUGCAGCGAUGCCGCGUGAGUGAAGAAGGCCUUUGGGUUGUAAAACUCUUUCGUCGGGGAAGAAAAUGACUGUACCCGAAUAAGAAGGUCCGGCUAACUUCGUGCCAGCAGCCGCGGUAAUACGAAGGGACCUAGCGUAGUUCGGAAUUACUGGGCUUAAAGAGCUCGUAGGUGGUUAAAAAAGUUGAUGGUGAAAUCCCAAGGCUCAACCUUGGAACUGCCAUCAAAACUUUUUAGCUAGAGUGUGAUAGAGGUAAGUGGAAUUUCUAGUGUAGAGGUGAAAUUCGUAGAUAUUAGAAAGAACACCAAAUGCGAAGGCAACUUACUGGGUCACUACUGACACUGAGGAGCGAAAGCAUGGGUAGCGAAGAGGAUUAGAUACCCUCGUAGUCCAUGCCGUAAACGGUGUGUGCUAGACGUUGGAAAUAUAUUUUUCAGUGUCGCAGCGAAAGCGUUAAGCACACCGCCUGGGGAGUACGACCGCAAGGUUAAAACUCAAAUGAAUUGACGGGGACCCGCACAAGCAGUGGAGCAU
rnacentral:rRNA from 1 species